GCCAGGCGUGGUGGCUCAUGCCUGUAAUCCCAGCACUUUGGGAGGCUGAGGCGGGUGGAUCACCUGAGGUCAGGAGUUCAAGACCAUCCUGGCCAACAUGGUGAAACCCCGUCUCUA
rnacentral:SRP_RNA from 1 species